GUGAGGAAUAUUGCGCAAUGGAGGCAACUCUGACGCAGCCAUGCCGCGUGCAGGAAGAAGGCGCUACGCGUUGUAAACUGCUUUUAACCGGGAAGAAACCCCAGGACGUGUCCUGGGUUGACGGUACCGGAGGAAUAAGCACCGGCUAACUUCGUGCCAGCAGCCGCGGUAAUACGAAGGGUGCAAGCGUUAUCCGGAUUCAUUGGGUUUAAAGGGUGCGUAGGCGGAGCGUUAAGUCAGUGGUGAAAUCCUGCAGCUUAACUGUAGACUUGCCAUUGAUACUGGCGCUCUUGAGUGCGCUUGAAGUGGGCGGAAUGUGCCGUGUAGCGGUGAAAUGCUUAGAUAUGGCACAGAACACCAAUUGCGAAGGCAGCUCACUAAGGCGAUACUGACGCUGAGGCACGAAAGCGUGGGGAUCGAACAGGAUUAGAAACCCAGUAGUCC
rnacentral:rRNA from 1 species